rnacentral:rRNA from 1 species
UACGUAGGGAGCAAGCGUUGUCCGGAAUUAUUGGGCGUAAAGGGCUCGUAGGCGGUUUGUUGCGUCGGGAGUGAAAACCAGGUGCUUAACACCUGGCCUGCUUUCGAUACGGGCAGACUAGAGGCAUUCAGGGGAGAACGGAAUUCCUGGUGUAGCGGUGAAAUGCGCAGAUAUCAGGAGGAACACCGGUGGCGAAGGCGGUUCUCUGGGAAUGUUCUGACGCUGAGGAGCGAAAGUGUGGGGAGCGAACAGG